rnacentral:rRNA from 1 species
GUAACUGGUCUGAGAGGAUGAUCAGUCACACUGGAACUGAGACACGGUCCAGACUCCUACGGGAGGCAGCAGUGGGGAAUAUUGGACAAUGUGCGAAAGCCUGAUCCAGCCAUGCCGCGUGUGUGAAGAAGGUCUUCGGAUUGUAAAGCACUUUAAGUUGGGAGGAAGGGCAGUAAAUUAAUACUUUGCUGUUUUGACGUUACCGACAGAAUAAGCACCGGCUAGCUCUGUGCCAGCAGCCGCGGUAAUACAGAGGGUGCAAGCGUUAAUCGGAAUUACUGGGCGUAAAGCGCGCGUAGGUGGUUUGUUAAGUUGGAUGUGAAAUCCCCGGGCUCAACCUGGGAACCGCAUUCAAAACUGGGGUGGUGGAAUUUCCUGUGUAGCGGUGAAAUGCGUAGAUAUAGGAAGGAACACCAGUGGCGAAGGCGACCACCUGGACUGAUACUGACACUAAGGUGCGAAAGCGUGGGGAGCAAACAGGAUUAGAUACCCUGGUAGUCCACGCCGUAAACGAUGUCAACUAGCCGUUGGGAGCCUUGAGCUCUUAGUGGCGCAGCUAACGCAUUAAGUUGACCGCCUG